UGCUGGUUAAACAUGAUAUAAAACAACAUAACAGCACAAUAACCUGCGUAUAUAUAUGCGCCAUAAUCCACGACAGAUCAUGCAAGGGGGUACAAUAAAAUAUGUUUUUAUAUGUAUUUAAUAGAUGACGAUGGAUGAUUAGACUAUAUUGCAAUGCUUUAUAUUGCCUGUAUGUAUCAUAUGAAUAAUUUCGUUUUUUUAACAGUGUCUGUUGGUAUUACAAAACGAUGGCGACAAAAAGCAUUUUCCGGGUUAUUAUAAAACAUUUAUGACAACACGCGCUUCUACGUCGGAUGUUAUAGUUUAAGAAUUAUAGAACUUCUUACUCUUUUUUAAUGCACGAGGGUAGAUAAACCGCAGAUUAUCUCUGUAAAGUGACACCAAUUGUCCACUGCACAUUGGGAUAUCCUGUUAUAAGUAUACAAACAACACGUUAAGUAUGUAUGAGGGGAUGGAUCAGGACAACACAGAAAACUGAUUGAUAGUGUUUCAACCUUGAUUAUCAACUAAAAUAAAGAUGUUGCCAAAGAAUAUAUAAAAAAUAAGGCCGCCCAGAAAAUAAUCCGACCUUUUUGAAAUGAUAGUAUCUCAAACGUAUCCGUGUUCACUUGUUUAGAUCCCAGGUUGAGACGAAAGUGUUCAACAAUUUAUAAAACAAACAAAGAAGUUAGAAGUAGGGAUGUAUAUAUGGUUCCAAACAGCAUUAUAUAUAUGUAUAUUUUCAUAAUUCAAUUUGUAAUGAAUAAUAAUGAUUAUGGUCCAAAUUACCUAUUCGACAACUCCUCCGGGUAAUUCUAUUUUUUAGUCUCCAGAAAUGUCAGAAUUUUCUAAACCACUGCUUAAUGUGCAUUAUUGGCCAUGCUCCUUUGAUAUAAGCAGUCCGUAAUAAUACACCUUAAUCUCAGUCGCGGAUUAUACUUUCUUUAAGAUUUUUCCCACAGGACCUAGCAAGCCCAAAAGAAAGUGUGUCCAAGUGACCGAUCGAUUUUCCCUUGAUUACGGUAAAAUACAAUCGAUAAUGUUGAUUGUGCGUGAAAGCGCUUAGCAAGUGGAUUAGAGCGGUUGCCGGCAUAACGUAUUCAGCAAACAAUCCUUUACUUCCGUAAAUAUAACAAUGAAUGGAAGGAAAGAACUAGAGUUAUUAUAAUGUGAUUGAACAAUUCUUAGUUGAGAAAUUCACAAGCAAAGUUCGACUUCGCAGCAACUGUUUGCCACAACUUUAUAUUGGAUUUGACACGCCCAGAAAAGUUUUUUAUGAAUACUAUUGAAAAAUUUGAGCAGUUACAUCUUCAUCUUAUGCAAUGAUCUUUCUCACACUCCAAACAGACAGCAGACGGAACGAGGGACGUAUGUUGCAUACGAUGAUUCAUCCACCAAAUAUAUUCAAAAGACGUCCCGAAAUUUGAUUGAAAACGAGACUUUGAGUCAUGUCAGCAUCAUCAAAACAGUUUCAAUUACGUACACUCAAGCUUGUUUUUAUUUAGAAUAUUUAUAUGAGACUCGUAUGUCUAUCUCAAUAUACUUAAACAUGAGUAUUUAUCUAUUUUUUAUAUUGUAUGGUUUGACAUUUCGUGUUUUCAGUAUUAAAAAAAAUUUUUGGAGUUCGACGAUUGAUAAUGCCAUGUAAUGUGAUGUACACACAUGACCAUGUUUGAAUACUUUUUGAAUCGAAAUUCGAACUUGUGCGUUUUUCUUUUGUU